rnacentral:ncRNA from 1 species
GGGUCCAGUGGCCGGAAGAGCACCGCACGUCGCGCGGUGUCCGGUGCGCCCCCGGCGGCCCAUGAAAAUCCGGAGGACCGAGUACCGUUCACGCCCAGUCGUACUCAUGACCGCAUUAGGUCUCCAAGGUGAACGACCUCUGGCCAAUGGAAUAAUGUAGGCAAGGGAAGACGGCAAAACGGAUCCGUAACUCCGGGAAAAGGAUUGGCUCUGAGGACUGG